GAUUAAUCGCGCCCGUGUAGGCGUGUUUUGCGUAAACUAAAAAAUUCGUGCAUUCGAUUUGGAUCCGGUCUCGAUGCCACUAGAUCUGACGGCCUACAGAAUUUGACUGACAGUCGCGCCGGCUGCGUCACAAAUAAACGUUGUGGAUGCUGCUUCUCUCCCGCAACACAGGUGCCAAGAUGGCGGCUUGAACAGACACUUUUUUUUUUACCGAGCUCUGCACAGUUAUUACUAUUACUGUUUUUAUUUGUUCAAGGUAUACGAACUUUCAUGUGACUGGAAUAAGAAUUGGAUAAUUUAUUUCAGCACGUCCAUGCGAAGUCGUGACAAAAAAAGAAAGGAAGAAGCUAGCCGUUCUAUUGCUAAUCAACAAGAGAGAAACAUGCUUAUAGACAACUGCCAUAUCUAGGCUUACCCUAUGAUUAAUAUCAUGCUGUUGAAGAUGACGAAUUCCCCUCUUUACCAGUUACUCUGUGCAAACCUCCACCCUCCAAAAAACCCAACAUGAACUCUGACAUUGUGGCUAACCUCUCCUUACUCAUCAACUCCAGGUCUGACGCCAUUGAGAAAAUGGUAGGCGCAAACACCAUGGUUAUCGAAAGUUUGAAAAAGACUGGAGUUUGCAUGUGGUGAUAUCAAGGAUGUGAAAAUGAGAGUGGCAAAAGUUGAAAAAAGUGUGGAAAAGAAAAACAAUGUCUACCAUAGACGUCUCACUGAUCUGAAACAAUACACAAGAAGAUGGAACCUGAGACUCUACGGCGUGCCAGAGGUGGAGAAUGAAGAUGUGCGUGGAGAGGCUAUCCGCAUCUGCCAAGAAGUUAUGCCUGCAGAGAAGAACAAAGUUGGUGAUACCAUUGACGUUGUGCAUCGCCUCGGCAAGAAGCAACAGCAAAAUGAUUCAAGACCAAGGGUAUCAUCAUCCUCUUUACUGCCAGAUUCUACAGGGAUGCUGUCUGGAAAGCUGCUAGGAAGAACGCCUUCCUUCAGAGCCAUGGUAUGUGUUUCGUCGAGCAUCUCAGCCCGGAGGACAUAGAAAGAAGGAACAAGUUGUGGCCAACGAUCAAGAAAGCACGAAAUGAGUGAAAGGCUGCUUACUUUGUCGGAGGACGAGGCUUCAUCAACGGUUCAGAAAUCCAUAUUCCUCCCUAAAAUCUCACCAGAAAGAACAGAUUGAUGGUUUCGGCCAUGGUAUUCUCAUUUUCCUUGUAUUGUUUAACUUUACCUAACAAGCAUCAGGUGACUAUUUUUUGGAAUACUCAGUUUCUCUUAAUGCUAGGGGAUUACGAAACAAUGUGAAGCGCAAGGCCUUAUUUUUAUUUGCUGAACAAUUUCGAACAGAUUUUUGCUUUUUUCAAGAGUCUCACUCAAUUUCGGCUGAUGCCAACUUCUGGAGGUCACAGUGGGGCAACGAUAUUUGGCUUUCCCAUGGAUCUGAACGCUCCGCUGGUGUCACUACAAUGAAAAUACCUUUGGUGGUAAUAUUCUAC
rnacentral:lncRNA from 1 species